UAGGGAAUCUUCCGCAAUGGACGCAAGUCUGACGGAGCAACGCCGCGUGAGUGAAGAAGGAUUUCGGUUCGUAAAACUCUGUUGUUAGAGAAGAACAGCGCAUAGAGUAACUGUUAUGCGUGUGACGGUAUCUAACCAGAAAGCCACGGCUAACUACGUGCCAGCAGCCGCGGUAAUACGUAUGUGGCAAGCGUUGUCCGGAUUUAUUGGGCGUAAAGCGAGCGCAGGCGGUCAAUUAAGUCUGAUGUGAAAGCCCCCGGCUCAACCGGGGAGGGUCAUUGGAAACUGGUUGACUUGAGUGCAGAAGAGGAGAGUGGAAGUCCAUGUGUAGCGGUGAAAUGCGUAGGUAUAUGGUGGAACACCAGUGGCGAAGGCGACUCUCUGGUCUGUAACUGACGCUGAGGCUCGAAAGCGUGGGUAGCAAACAGG
rnacentral:rRNA from 1 species